UUGGAGGUUGUGCCCUUGAGGCGUGGCUUCCGGAGCUAACGCGUUAAGUCGACCGCCUGGGGAGUACGGCCGCAAGGUUAAAACUCAAAUGAAUUGACGGGGGCCCGCACAAGCGGUGGAGCAUGUGGUUUAAUUCGAUGCAACGCGAAGAACCUUACCUACUCUUGACAUCCAGAGAACUUAGCAGAGAUGCCUUGGUGCCUUCGGGAACUCUGAGACAGGUGCUGCAUGGCUGUCGUCAGCUCGUGUUGUGAAAUGUUGGGUUAAGUCCCGCAACGAGCGCAACCCUUAUCCUUUGUUGCCAGCGAUUCGGUCGGGAACUCAAAGGAGACUGCCAGUGAUAAACUGGAGGAAGGUGGGGAUGACGUCAAGUCAUCAUGGCCCUUACGAGUAGGGCUACACACGUGCUACAAUGGCAUAUACAAAGAGAAGCGACCUCGCGAGAGCAAGCGGACCUCAUAAAGUAUGUCGUAGUCCGGAUUGGAGUCUGCAACUCGACUCCAUGAAGUCGGAAUCGCUAGUAAUCGUGGAUCAGAAUGCCACGGUGAAUACGUUCCCGGGCCUUGUACACACCGCCCGUCACACCAUGGGAGUGGGUUGCAAAAGAAGUAGGUAGCUUAACCUUCGGGAGGGCGCUUACCACUUUGUGAUUCAUGACUGGGGUGAAGUCGUAACAAGGUAACCGUAGGGGAACCUGC
rnacentral:rRNA from 1 species